rnacentral:piRNA from 1 species
AUACAACAUUCUUUGACCCUGCAGGUG